CUUUCUUCUUUCUGGGCUGGUUUCCGCACUUAAGCGUUUCCGUCUGUUAUGCGUGCCGUAGACAGCUAUCUU